GACGAACGCUGGCGGCGUGCUUAACACAUGCAAGUCGAACGGAAAGGCCCUGCUUUUGUGGGGUGCUCGAGUGGCGAACGGGUGAGUAACACGUGAGUAACCUGCCCUUGACUUUGGGAUAACUUCAGGAAACUGGGGCUAAUACCGGAUAGGAGCUCCUGCUGCAUGGUGGGGGUUGGAAAGAUUCGGCGGUUGGGGAUGGACUCGCGGCUUAUCAGCUUGUUGGUGGGGUAGUGGCUUACCAAGGCUUUGACGGGUAGCCGGCAUGAGAGGGUGACCGGACACAUUGGGACUGAGGUACGGCCCAGACUCCUACGGGAGGCAGUAGUGGGGAAUAUUGCACAAUGGGCGGAAGCCUGAUGCAGCAACGCCGCGUGCGGGAUGACGGCCUUCGGGUUGUAAACCGCUUUCGCCUGUGACGAAGCGUGAGUGACGGUAAUGGGUAAAGAAGCAACGGCUAACUACGUG
rnacentral:rRNA from 1 species